rnacentral:rRNA from 1 species
ACGCUCGACACCUACGGGAGGCAGCAGUAGGGAAUCUUCCACAAUGGACGCAAGUCUGAUGGAGCAACGCCGCGUGAGUGAAGAAGGUUUUCGGAUCGUAAAGCUCUGUUGUUGGUGAAGAAGGAUAGAGGUAGUAACUGGCCUUUAUUUGACGGUAAUCAACCAGAAAGUCACGGCUAACUACGUGGCAGCAGCCGCGGUAAUCUGAGCGGGCUGGCAAGGC